rnacentral:rRNA from 1 species
GAUGAACGCUGGCGGCGUGCCUAAUACAUGCAAGUCGAGCGAACAGGCGAGGAGCUUGCUCCUCUGACGUUAGCGGCGGACGGGUGAGUAACACGUGGAUAACCUACCUAUAAGACUGGGAUAACUUCGGGAAACCGGAGCUAAUACCGGAUAAUAUAUUGAACCGCAUGGAUCAAUAGUGAAAGACGGUUUUGCUGUCACUUAUAGAUGGAUCCGCGCCGCAUUAGCUAGUUGGUAAGGUAACGGCUUACCAAGGCAACGAUGCGUAGCCGACCUGAGAGGGUGAUCGGCCACACUGGAACUGAGACACGGUCCAGACUCCUACGGGAGGCAGCAGUAGGGAAUCUUCCGCAAUGGGCGAAAGCCUGACGGAGCAACGCCGCGUGAGUGAUGAAGGUCUUCGGAUCGUAAAACUCUGUUAUUAGGGAAGAACAAAUGUGUAAGUAACUAUGCACGUCUUGACGGUACCUAAUCAGAAAGCCACGGCUAACUACGUG